AGAGUUUGAUCAUGGCUCAGAAUCAACGCUGGCGGCGUGCCUAACACAUGCAAGUCGAACGCGAAAGCCCGCAAGGGUAAGUAGAGUGGCGCACGGGUGAGUAACACGUGGACAACCUGCCUUCGAGUGGGGAAUAACCUUCCGAAAGGAGGGCUAAUACCGCAUAACACCUCGGAACACAAGUUCUGGGGUUGAAAAGAGCAAUUUGCUCGAAGAGGGGUCCGCGCCUGAUUAGCUAGUUGGUGAGGUAACGGCUCACCAAGGCUUCGAUCAGUAGCCGUCCUGAGAGGGAGCACGGCCACACUGGAACUGAGACACGGUCCAGACUCCUACGGGAGGCAGCAGUGGGGAAUUUUUGGCAAUGGGCGAAAGCCUGACCAAGCAACGCCGCGUGGGUGAUGAAGUAUCUUGGUACGUAAAACCCUUUCGGCAGGGACGAACCUAAUGACGGUACCUGCGAGAGCC
rnacentral:rRNA from 1 species